AAGUCGUAACAAGGUUUCCGUAGGUGAACCUGCGGAAGGAUCAUUAACACGUAUCCAACGAUACAAACUAAUACGCAGAACCUAAGUUCCCUGGCAUUAGACCUCUAGUCGUCUGCUCACGGAUUGUGGUGGGUCCCCGGGUUCGUUCCUUCGGGAAUGCGAUCCGGUGUGGCAUAUUCGGACAGACUAUUUAUCAUUCCUUUGAGAAUGGAGGCUAGUAACUUAAUGUCGGGCUUUACCCAUCUAUUUCAUUCAACCACUUUGGGUGGUAGAUGGGCCCCAUACCCUUAUUUCACCUUCUUUACCCUAAUUGGCUAAUUUCUAUAUCGAACUGGAGAAAUCCUUUUCGAUCUACUAAGAUUUAUCUUAACUAAGCACAACUCUUAGCAAUGGAUAUCUUGGUUCUC
rnacentral:misc_RNA from 1 species